rnacentral:rRNA from 2 species
GGACUACCAGGGUUUCUAAUCCCGUUUGCUCCCCUGGCUUUCGUGCCUCAGCGUCAGGAAAUGUCCAGAGACUCGCCUUCGCCACUGGUGUUCCACUUGAUAUCUACGCAUUUCACUGCUACACCAAGUAUUCCAGUCUCCCCUCCAUUCCUCUAGCCGGAUAGUAUCCAACGCAGUUUCCGGGUUAAGCCCGGAGAUUUCACGUCAGACUUUUCCAACCGCCUACGCACCCUUUACGCCCAGUGAAUCCGAACAACGCUUGGGACCUCUGUAUUACCGCGGCGGCUGGCAC